CCAAAAAUUUUAAGUCUUUGGUUGUUGAGGCGGGAGGUUAUGAGAAUGUAACAUUCGGGGAGAAGGAGUGUCGAAACUACAUUGACAAAGCACGACGACUUCGCCUCGGGGUUGGAGGUGGUGUAGCUCUAUGUAACUAUUUCGAAGAUAUGCAAAAAAGAAAUCCGGAGUUUUAUUAUAAGAUUGACAUUGACAAUGAGAUGCGGUUAAAGAAUGUGUUUUGGGCAGCGUCAGGAGUAGAGCUGUGUAUGAAUCAUUCGGGAAUGUGAUUACAUUUGAUACAACAUAUCUAACUAAUGCGUAUAAAAUGCCUUUUGUACCGUUUGUGGGUGUGAACCACCAUGGACAGUUAACUAAUAUAUAAUAUCAUUAUGGAUUGGACAGUCAAUCCAAUGAGGACGCAACUACAUUUGAGUGGUUGUUUCAGUCAUGGUUGCAGUGUAUGAAUAACCAACCGCCAAAUGCAAUCAUCACAGACCAUGACAAGGCCAUGAAAAUUGCAAUAUCGAGGGUGUUUCCAACUUUUAGGCAUCGAUUCUGCUUGUGGCAUAUAAUGAAAAAACUUCCUGAGAAAUUUGGCUCACAUUGUCAAUACGGGGAAAUCAAGAGUACCAUACAUAGAUGCGUAUAUGACUCUUUCAGUCAGCAUGAGUUUGAUGAACAUUGGUGCCGUAUGCUCGAUACAUAUGAUUUGCAUAAGAAUGCAUGGUUAGUAUCACUGUAUAGUGAUCGACAUUAUUGGGGGCCAGCCUAUGUUAGAGACACAUUCUGGGCAGGAAUGUCAACCACACAGCGAAGUGAAGGAAUGAAUGCAUUUUUUGACGACUACGUUCACUCUAGAACUACUCUGAAGCAAUUUGUUGACCAGUAUGAUUCGGCCCUUAGGAGGAAGGUAGAGAAUGAAGUAAUUGCUAACUUCAAUUCCUUUAACACGGACAUUUCGUGCAUAAGUCGUUAUCCUCUUGAGAAGCAAUUCCAAAGUGCAUAUACUUUUGCUAAAUUCAAGGAGAUACAAGAGGAAUUGCAAGGAUUUCUAUAUUUGACUACUAAGGAGAUGGGGUGUGAGGAUGGUAGAUAUAUGUUCGUUGUUGUGGAUGAGGUUCAAAUUGGUAAUGACUUAUUAAAACGUGUAACCUUUAAUGUGGAAGUUGAUCAAGAUCCCAUUGAUGUGAAAUACAGUUGUAAAUUAUUUGAGUUUAGGGAUAUUUUGUGUAGACACGCUCUCCAUGUCUUAACUCAAAUGGGCCAACAUACAGUACCAUCAAAAUACAUCUUGGAUCGGUGGAGGAAAGAUAUUAAGCGAAAACACACCUUCGUGAAAAGUAGGUAUGACACUACUAGCAUCGACGAUGCACGAAGGUACGAUAGGAUCCAAGAUUGUUUCUAUGAACUGUGUUCCAAUGCUUCAAAGGCUGAGAGCAGUUGUGUUAAAUUGAUUAGUCAGAUAGAACAGUUGAAGACACAGUACCCUGGUAUCGCUGAUCAUGAUACUAGCAACACAGUUGAUACAGCUCCUUCGACGGAGGCUUCAACCCCUAGAGUUCUUAGUCAUUUGGUAGUUCGGAGUAAAGGAAGACCACCGUCUAAGAGAAAAGUGCACCCCACUGAGAAGAGUAUUAAGAAAUCCAGUACGAAAAGGCGAUUGCACAAUAACCAAGCUGAGCACUAGGAUCAACAAAGUCAAGUUUGGACACAUGCGCCGGACUUUUUUUCAACUCCUUCGACUGCUCAUCACUCACAGGACAACAUUACAGAGGCUUUCCAUCAGGACUUCAGUGCUUUUUGAUUGAUAGAUACAAUGAGACAAAUUUGUACUUGGGAUAUUAUUGGACCCGUUUUUGUAUUGACGUGUUUAGAUCAUUAAUUGUAAUUUUGGGAUUGUAUUAAACCUGUUUUUGUAUUGACGUAGUUAGAUCAUUACUUCUAAUAUUGGGAUUGUAUUGAAC